AUUGAACGCUGGCGGAAUGCUUUACACAUGCAAGUCGAACGGCAGCACGGGAGCAGCCCUGGUGGCGAGUGGCGAACGGGUGAGUAAUACAUCGGAACGUGCCCGGUCGUGGGGGAUAACGUAGCGAAAGUUACGCUAAUACCGCAUACGAUCUGAGGAUGAAAGCGGGGGACCUUCGGGCCUCGCGCGAUCGGAGCGGCCGAUGUCAGAUUAGGUAGUUGGUGGGGUAAAGGCCUACCAAGCCGACGAUCUGUAGCUGGUCUGAGAGGACGACCAGCCACACUGGGACUGAGACACGGCCCAGACUCCUACGGGAGGCAGCAGUGGGGAAUUUUGGGCAAUGGGCGCAAGCCUGAUCCAGCCAUUCCGCGUGCAGGACGAAGGCCUUCGGGUUGUAAACUGCUUUUGUACGGAACGAAAAGGCUCUGGCUAAUACCUGGGGCUCAUGACGGUACCGUAAGAAUAAGCACCGGCUAACUACGUG
rnacentral:rRNA from 1 species